rnacentral:rRNA from 1 species
UACGGGGGGAGCAAGCGUUGUUCGGAUUUACUGGGCGUAAAGGGCGCGUAGGCGGCGCAACAAGUCACUUGUGAAAUCUCCGGGCUUAACCCGGAGCGGCCAAGUGAUACUGUCGUGCUAGAGUGCGGAAGGGGCUACUGGAAUUCUCGGUGUAGCGGUGAAAUGCGUAGAUAUUGGGAGGAACACCAGUGGCGAAGGCGGCUCACUGGACCGGAACUGACGCUGAGGCGCAAAAGCGUGGGGAGCAAACAGG